CUAAAAGUAGCUUAUAAAAGCACCUAGCUUACAACUAGAAGAUGUCGACACCGACCUUUUUGA
rnacentral:tRNA from 1 species